AUGUACGACGGCCGCAUAUCGUCCUGUUAGAGAGCUGAUUCAGAAAGAAAGGCUCAAAGAGUUGGAGAAGAAACAAAAAGCUGAGGAAGGAGAGAAUGCGGCCGAGGCAUCGGAAUCCAAGGCAGAAGAUGAGGAAGCAACAAUUACCCUCCGGCCAUUAAACAUGGAAGACAUGAGGCAGGCAAAGAAUCAAGUUUCCACAAGUUUUGCUGCCGAGGGUUCGAUAAUGAGUGAGCUCAAACAAUGGAACGAGCUAUAUGGAGAAGGCGGCUCGAGGAAAAAGAAACAAUUAACUUACUUCCUCUAAAUACACUUAUGUAUGU
rnacentral:misc_RNA from 1 species